UACGGAGGGUGCAAGCGUUGUCCGGAAUCACUGGGCGUAAAGGGCGCGUAGGCGGCUCAUGAAGGCUGUGGUGAAAGUCCGGGGCUCAACCUCGGAUCGGCCGUGGCGACUCGUGGGCUGGAGCACUGUAGAGGCAGGUGGAAUUCCGGGUGUAGCGGUGGAAUGCGUAGAGAUCCGGAAGAACACCAGUGGCGAAGGCGGCCUGCUGGGCAGUGGCUGACGCUGAGGCGGCGACAGGCGUGGGGAGCAAACAGG
rnacentral:rRNA from 1 species